UGGCUUGCAAUAAUCUUGAACCUGGAAGAGAUUAUGAUGACAAAGAAGUCUGGAAUAAACAAGAAACCUCCGAACCACCAUAACUGUGUCUGCUACAAUGUGUGUUCUUGCAACCAGCUGAUUGAUUCAUUUUAUCAACUCUCAAAUGGUUGAUUAUCAGAACUGAAUUCAGAGCUGCUCCUGUCUGUAGUAACAUCUUAUUAGAGUGGACUUCAGAAUGAGGGUGUUGCUGGUUUAAAAA